UGGCGAACGGGUGAGUAACACGUGGGUGAUCUGCCCUGCACUCUGGGAUAAGCCUGGGAAACUGGGUCUAAUACCGGAUAGGACCAUGCUUUAGUGUGUGUGGUGGAAAGUUUUUUCGGUGUAGGAUGAGCCCGCGGCCUAUCAGCUUGUUGGUGGGUAAUGGCCUACCAAGGCGGCGACGGGUAGCCGGGCUGAGAGGUUGGUCGGCCACAUUGGGACUGAGAUACGGCCCAG
rnacentral:rRNA from 1 species